AUUGAACGCUGGCGGCAUGCCUUACACAUGCAAGUCGAACGGCAGCACGGGAGCAAUCCUGGUGGCGAGUGGCGAACGGGUGAGUAAAGUAUCGGAACGUGCCCAGUCGUGGGGGAUAACGUAGCGAAAGUUACGCUAAUACCGCAUACGAUCUAUGGAUGAAAGCGGGGGAUCGCAAGACCUCGCGCGAUUGGAGCGGCCGAUAUCAGAUUAGGUAGUUGGUGGGGUAAAGGCUCACCAAGCCGAGGAUCUGUAGCUGGUCUGAGAGGACGACCAGCCACACUGGGACUGAGACACGGCCCAGACGCCUACGGGAGGCAGCAGUGGGGAAUUUUGGACAAUGGGCGAAAGCCUGAUCCAGCCAUGCGGCGUGCAGGAUGAAGGCCUUCGGGUUGUAAACUGCUUUUGUACGGAACGAAAAGGUUUGGCCUAAUAAGCUGAGCUCAUGACGGUACCGUAAGAAUAAGCACCGGCUAACUACGUGCCAGCCGCCGCGGUAA
rnacentral:rRNA from 1 species